GGGGUUGUGGCUUAGUGGCAGAGUGCUUGCCUGUCGUGUGAGGAACUGGGUUCGAUUCUCAGCACCGCA
rnacentral:tRNA from 1 species